UCGUCGACCACCCGGCCCACCGCGAUCGUC
rnacentral:antisense_RNA from 1 species